rnacentral:rRNA from 1 species
GACGAACGCUGGCGGCGUGCUUAACACAUGCAAGUGGAGCGACGAACCAGGCUUCGGCCUGGGGCAGAGCCGCGAACGGGUGAGUAACACGUGGGUAACCUGCCCCAAUGACCGGGACAACUCGGGGAAACUCGAGCUAAUACCGGAUGUGCCUUCUUCACAUCAGUGAUGAAUGGAAAGGAAGCUUCGGCCUCCGCGUUGGGAUCGGCCCGCGGCGCAUUAGCUUGNGGUGAGGUAACGGCUCACCAAGGCCGCGAUGCGUAGCUGGUCUGAGAGGACGAUCAGCCACACUGGGACUGAGACACGGCCCAGACUCCUACGGGAGGCAGCAGU